rnacentral:SRP_RNA from 1 species
AUUGCGAGUCGGGCGGCAGAAGUGCUGCUGACCACGUCAGAUUCGAAAGAAAGCAGCGACAGUGGUUAUUUUUGGGUGCCUGACUCACUUUUUU